GGGGACGUAGCUCAGCUGGGAGAGCGCGGGCUUUGCAAGCCUGAGGUCGAGGGUUCGAUCCCCUUCGUCUCCACCA
rnacentral:tRNA from 2 species